GUCCCUGUUGUGCAAUGGAAUAGCGCGUUGGACAUCUAAUCCAAAGGUCGUGGGGUUCGAAUCCCACCUGGGAUG